rnacentral:rRNA from 1 species
UACGAAGGGGGCUAGCGUUGCUCGGAAUCACUGGGCGUAAAGCGCACGUAGGCGGAUUGUUAAGUCAGGGGUGAAAUCCUGGAGCUCAACUCCAGAACUGCCUUUGAUACUGGCGAUCUCGAGUCCGGGAGAGGUGAGUGGAACUGCGAGUGUAGAGGUGAAAUGCGCAGAUAUCGGGAAGAACACCCGUGGCGAAGGCGGCUCUCUGGGACGGUACUGACGCUGAGACGCGAAAGCGUGGGGAGCGAACAGG